rnacentral:tRNA from 1 species
GACGGGGAGAAAGCUGGAAUGCUACUCCUAACACCCAAGACUUGACCUUGGACCCGUCG